AAUGCAAUUAAGAGUAGAAAUCCUAUGUUUUUCACUUGACAGCCACCUCUUCUCCUGAUCUCAUCUCACACACUCGUCUCCUCCCGAAGUCACCACCUCAACUCUUCUUCCUUUCUAUCGCCCACCACCAAGGCCGGUGGCGUCACCCCCUCUCCUUACCGUCGCUGGCCAGCUAUCCCUCUCCCCCUCAUCCCCAUCUUCUCUGACCACACAAGAAGGCUGCCCCACCUCCUCUCCUCGUGAGGCAAGUGGCGGAGCUCGGCUCAACUGAAUCCAUCGCCAAUCUUGUCCUUGAGGCUACCUCCCAUCCCUCUCUUUUCACCUUCACCAAGAUCCUCACCAUCCCCAACCUCUCAAAGAUUCCCUUGAUGGCCACCACCUUCUCUAUUCCUUUCAUGUUUGCUAAUCUUAACCUUCAUACUGCUUCUAUUCGCUACUUCAGCUGCAUCACAGUAUUCGUGGUAUCUGGAUGUGCCUCUCUGGUUUGCCUGCGGCACAUAGAAAAAUUACCAAAGUAAUGCUCAUAGCCUUCCCGUUAUGUUGCCUGAUCAAGUUUGUAAGUUGAAGCAGCUAAUUAGUGUAUUAGCACUCAUUGAAAAUGAAAAGGGCAUGAAGCUACUGCCAAUAGGAAGAAAAAGCUCACUAUCUUUAGUCCUCUAUUCUUCAGUUAGAAAAGAAGAAAAGAGAAGAUAGAUUAGCAUCUCAGAAGGCUAAUGAGGCCAUCAUGCAGUUCGUAGGAGACUUUGUAGCAUCACACCAUGAACUAGGUCGUAGCUAGUUCUUGUUUGAAUAUGGACUUGUCAAUUCUUGUCUUUGAAUCUGGAACCAGGCCAUAGACAUUUUUGUUCAUUUCUAUCUUUGAAUUUGGACAUAUCAAUUAUCUUCAAAUCUUGUUGAAUUAUGUUGACAGUACUAUCAUCAUUUUGGAAAUUAUAUA